AUUGAACGCUGGCGGCAGGCCUAACACAUGCAAGUCGAGCGGAGCGGCGGACGGGUGAGUAAUGCCUAGGAAUCUGCCUGGUAGUGGGGGAUAACGUUCGGAAACGGGCGCUAAUACCGCAUACUAUCAGAUGAGACUAGGUCGGUGUAGAUAGUUGGUGGGGUAAAGGCCUACCAAGGCGACGAUCCGUAACUGGUCGUAGAGGAUGAUCAGUCACACGGGAACUGAGACACGGUCCAGGAUCCUACGGGAGGCAGCAGGGGGGAAUAUUGGACAAUGGGCGAAAGCCUGAUCCAGCCAUGCCGCGUGUGUGAAGAAGGUCUUCGGGUUGUAAAGCACUUUAAGUUGGGAGGCGUUACCAGCAGAAUAAGCACCGGCUAACUUCGUGCCAGCAGCCGCGGUAAUAC
rnacentral:rRNA from 1 species